ACCCCGGGCGCCGCCGCUUCUGCGGAGGGCUCCUCAAUGUUGCCGCAUGCGGCGGAGGCUAGCCCAGAUCCUCCUCUUCCAGCCCAUCCUCUUCGUCACGCACAGUGGAAAAGGUUGGCCACGACGGUGCUAGCUCGAGCUCCGCCACCCCAUCCCCGGCCGUUGUUUGUUGAUGGCAGGCCGAGCUCCGCCUCCACGCCCUGCGGAGUCGGCCCGAUGUGUUGGGAUUGGACCUCGAUGGCGUCUGCUCCCGAUGGGACCUCAACGGCGACCUGCAGGUGUCAAAAGCUAUGUGACAAGAAUUAGGUGGCAUGACAGUGUCCAAAAUAAAGCGACGACAUAGAUUCCCGGCCUCAUUCGUGCCGCCGCUCGAGCCGCACGGCGUACCACGCCCCUCGGCGGCAUGGUGAGCAGAAGCAGCAAGCACUUAUUGAUGAUCGCCUUCUUCACAUUUAUGGCCGGCCGGACCGACGAAGGCAUAUGGCUACGUGGCGGGCGCUGCAAGAAGCUAUUGUUUUGAGGUUGAUUUGACUUUGCACAUCGUCUGCGUCCUCAGUGAUGUGCCAAGCUCCCAUUUAUGUGAUCUUUGCAAGUGAGGCAGAGAAAGCAGGGACAAAAGUCGGCAACCACAAGGAAGGCGCCCAAAUUAAUUUUGCUUUCAUUGAUGCUGAUGUAAUUGAAGAGGGCACAUUGGCUGCAGGCAUCGGGUGCCGGAAAAUCGAAAGCAGAGAGCCUUCUUUCAUGCAAGAGAAGGUGCAACUCUUGAUUGGUCUGGAUCCAUAUGGUAUUGUUAAAUCGGCUGGCAAGGUUGCCUUUAUCAUUGACAAUGACAAAUAUGUGAAUGGCAUCGAAUGUUCCAUUCCAGUUUUGAUCAAAAGUGUAAGCAAUCUCUAUCUUCUGGCACCAGAGACUAGAUCUAUUUUCUGUAAUGUUCAUUAAGAGAAGAGUAGAUUAUUUCAGGGAAACUGGAUCGGCACUGCUCAAGAAAUUGAUGAGUUGUUCCUAGGCGACGCAGAAGUGUGCAGCUCAUCAAUCUUUUAAUAACUUCUAAAAUUUCCUUCUCUUAGCAGCUACUAGAUUUCUGAAUAUGAACAUUAAAUUGCACUUCCCGACCCCAGAAAAUUAAAACCAGUCCGUUGAUCUCGUUACGUGAUACCUGAAAGUUUGAAGGAGGCCCUCCAUUGAACAGCUGGUCCAUCGGGAGGCGACUUCCCAUUGGCCAAGGAGGGCCAUCGCAUGCUUGAUGUCAUCUUCACAACCCCCAUCCAGGAUCUUGGUAUGCGUGUAAAUGGAACCCUGUUACUUCUCAAGGAUCUAAAUUUGACAUGAUAAUUCAGUAACUAUUUCUCCAAUGGAGGUUUAGCUGGUUUGCCUUCGUCACCCCAACGCUACACCAUGUUUAUUUGGUUUCUGAUGACCUCCCGUGCGACAUUGCUGGUAUGUUUUGCCUUCCUGCUGUGCUUGCAAGCAUUUGGCAUCUACUGCAAUCUUGAGAUGAUGCAUGUGCUGCCUAAUUUUCUACUACUAAAUCACAAAGCCAUGUUCCGAUUACUGGCAACAAGAAUCAACACGAUAACUCAUUCUGUUACAUGCUCUAAACUAUUUUAUUGGAGUUUGCUAAUUCCAUGUACUGGAAGCAAUAGCCUACAAAUUUGAUCACUAUGCGUAGCGUUUUUCCUUCCAAUGGAUUAUCAUGUUCCAACAAUUUCCUACAAAAGCCAGUAUGUUUGUUCGCUCUACCAGCGGUUCUUUGCAUAGUUGUAUGCUUAGAGAAUAUUAUAGUGGAUUGUUAGCCAAGUCUUAUUUGUGACAAGGUGCUAAGCUGCCGAGGUAAUUGUACACCUAAACUGAUUCUACAUAUUAAUUACAUAUAUGCAAAAGAAAAAAAAUUACUUUUCCUUUUCAAAUUCACUAACUGGGAACAUGAUAGUGACCUGGUUGUAGGGGCCGGGUGUGUGCUUAAUCUCCUCACCCACCUCAGUUGAGGUCUAGGAACUGUUUGGGCGCACCCUUAUUCAGUAUGUACUGAAUUUUACUUGCUAUUUUUUUAAUCCUAUUAAACCAAGAUGCCUUUUCUGCAUUGUCACACAUUGAUACUCCUAUUUGAAGGACCCAAGAAAAUUCAGCAUUUGUACUACUCCGUUUCUUAGUAGUUAUGCUCUUUUUCUGAAAUCGAAAUAGUCAAGUACAAAAAUAGUGUUGAUUCUUCUCCUUUUGUUAAUGAUUUGUUCUAACUAUAACAUUAAAGUGAAUCGUAUUUAUGAAACUGUCCCAAUUGCAGAACAAGUUGGCAUGGAGCAAUCUGUUCUAAAAUUAAUGUAUCCAUGUGUUACUGCCAAUCAGGUGUUUUCCUUCCUUUCUUUUGCUGAAGCUCUAUAUGAAUUGUUCUCUGCAUGUAAGUGGUCCAUAUGGAUUUUUAAUAUAUUAUGCUAUGUACAAGUGAUCGUUCUCUGUUUGCAGGUUAGGUAUGAUGGAUAGUGUCCGAUUAUGGAUAGUGGUCCAUAAGGAUUUUUAAUAUAUUAUGAUGUUGUGUUAUGUACGAAAACAAUUAUUGUGAUGUUGAUGCAGGCAAUUAUACAAGGAAAAUAAUUGUUUUUGUCAAAGGUCUUGAUUUCUGUGGUGGGCGCUAUGAUACUCCUAGGCAUCCUCUAUAUUGAACGCUUCAAACUCUGUGCAAGGAGGGUUAUUAAAUCCAAACUUUGUUGUAAGUGUCUGAUUCCGUUGUCAUAUACCCCAUUUGUGUUUUAAAGAAGAUUGUAUAUAUACUUAUGCCUUACUUCAGUUUCUCAUGUAAUGUUUACCAUAGUGUGCCUGGUACAGUUUCAAUGAUUAUUACCUAAGCAAUUUGGUUUUUAUAAUUCUCACUUGAUGAUGCCAACAGUUCAUCAAUUCCACCUGAAUUUAUCUGCCUGAUCUUGUAGCUAUCACUAAGCUUUGAUUGCUUGCAAUUUUAGGAUCAGUAGCAAGCUGAUGAUGCAGACCAUUACUGGGUCUCGACUAUUUGGUACUAAUUCGAGUUUUAUUUACUGAGAAGUAUUCUCCAUUAUGCACAAUGCAUUUGGUUCUUAUAGCAGAUUUAAUACUAUGGAGUUGCUAUAUGGGAUUAUGAACAAAGUAGAUUUGGGAAUUUCUCAUAGAUUAUAGUGAUGUUACAUAAAGCUGUGCAAUUUAUAAAUCAGACCAAUUACUUACUUAGAAAUGCAAAUGCUGGCUUCUUCAGUGUAUCUAUAUUGUACUAUAUAACCUCCUACUACUACUACUCGUAAUGUGGUAGAUAGUCAAAAUGCAAAUACAUUGUUUGUGCUUCCACACAACUAUCUGCUCAUUUAUUACCACCUACACUACUAUAGCUGGGGGUACAUGCCAGAGAACACAUCGUUUAUACCAUAGUGUGGGACACCAUUCUCAUGUUCUUUGGAAGUUCGUUCAGAGUAUUCAUGAUUUGGGUUUAUGUAAAGGUAUCUGGAAGAGAACAUAUUAUUGAUAAAUGAUGUGUGAUGCAUCGUUCGGCGCCCCACCUGGCAGCCUAUUUAGAAAAGGAAUUAGAAUUAACUUCAUUUGUCUGUACUUAGAAGAAUAGAUGGCAGAAUAGUUGCAGGCUUGCUUUCUACUAAUCAGUUUUAUUUUACACUUUAGGUAGCUCAUCUAUAAGUACUCUGAUGACAACAUGUUGAUAUUACGAUGCUACUAAUACAUUGAAUUUUUUGAAAAGAACACGAUGUCAGGAUCUUUGACAGAACAUGCGGACAGGGAGUUUGAGGCUAUCAUUGAUAAGGUAUCCUGGAGAGUUGCAAGAUUAUUGUCUUGUUUUGAAUCAUGUUCCUAUCGGUUUCUUCCUGCUGAGAGCGUAUUAUGUGGGCAAUGUAAUCAUCAUGCUCUACAGCUCUGUUUCCUUGAAAAUUGACCCUGUAAAUUCAUGUUUUCCUAGAACUGAUCCUGUAAAUUCUUCCUUUAUUUUAAUGAAGUUUGGCGCCAGUCUCUUUGAGAUAA